UUAUGACAUUUAUUUCAGUUGUCUUAAUACAUAAUAUAUUUUUAUUUAUUUGAAUGGAAAGUUUUUUAGUUUCUUGUGAGCUAGUUCUAGACUAGAAAUUACCUAAUAUGCUUCCUUAUAACUUGUGUAAUGUGUUUCUUUUACGAAUUUGUAUAGUAGUAUAAUUCCUAAAAUUUACUGAUAAAAACUAUGGCAUGCUAUUCCAACAAUAUUAUAACUAACACUGACUUUCACAAAUUUAAGUUUCAAGUCACAAAAAAAAGUAAAUUUUUUUUUAUGUGUUUGUAUUAAGAUGUUUUUAUUUAUUUAUUUUUUAAUAUUAUUCACCUCCGGGUUACUACCAGGGACAUAGUAGGGAUAGUACCAAGACCUUUUUAUGAAGCAAACGAAAAAUUUAUCCAACAUAAACAGCAGCAGAACAUCUUAAAUUUGCACAAGAACUUAGUCAUAAUAAACAAGAUAUUUAUUUAAAUCAAUACACACACAGUAUUACAUUAUACACACUCAGUCAGUAUUUAAUUUUUGAAAUGAAUCACAAUCUCAUGUUUCCCUAAUAUCACAGUUGAAACAAAGAGCCUAUUUUGGUUUCAUUAAUUAAAAAUAACUUUUAACAUUUUUUUAAUGUUUUCUUUUACACCUUCUCUAGGCCAUAAAGGCUACCUCCCCAAGGCUAUUUAAUAAAAUCACCUCCUCAAUGCCAUAAAGGGUGCUGCAGUUGAGGAGGCUCCUUUUUUUCAAUUGUAUAACUCCCUCUCAACUGUAUAACUCUGAAAUAUUUCAAUAAAAUACAUGCCAAAUACAUUUGUGGGUAGUUUUUGUAUAUGAUAUGUGAUUUGAUAUAGUUUUUAAAAUUCAUAUGUUAUACCAAAAGAUAUACUUUACUAAUAUCACAUUAUUUAAUCUUGGACUCAACUGUUAAACAGUAGAAGAUUUGAACGAGUUUACACUAAGAAUGGAUAAUAAAACUUUUGCACAACAGUUUGCCAACUCUAAUGUGUUGGCGGAAAGUUACAAAAAAAUAUUAAAGACUUAAUUCAAAGAUAAUGUUGCUAAUCGAUUUACAGUGAAUAUUCUUUCUAAAGCAGAAAAACUCAGGUGAGCACCAAUUAGAAAGUUAGCACAAUUUCUGAUUUUUCUAUUUGUUCAUUUCGAAUGUUUUUUAUUUAUUUCUUAAAAAUGCUUUUAACUGGAUUUGUUUGUAACUUUAUGUUUCUUUAUAUAUUUUUGUACUAUAGUGUCAAACAAAGCAUACGCAAAUUAUUCGAGAUAUGGUCGAAAUUUGCAAAGAAAGUAAAACUCAAUCUA